UACGUAGGGGGCUAGCGUUGUCCGGAAUCAUUGGGCGUAAAGCGCGUGUAGGCGGUUUGUCGCGUCUGCUGUGAAAACCUAAGGCUCAACCUUGGGCUUGCAGUGGGUACGGGCAGACUAGAGUGCGGUAGGGGUGACUGGAAUUCCUGGUGUAGCGGUGGAAUGCGCAGAUAUCAGGAGGAACACCGAUGGCGAAGGCAGGUCACUGGGCCGCAACUGACGCUGGAGGAG
rnacentral:rRNA from 1 species